AUUGAACGCUGGCGGCAUGCUUUACACAUGCAAGUCGAACGGCAGCGCGGGCUUCGGCCUGGCGGCGAGUGGCGAACGGGUGAGUAAUGCAUCGGAACGUGCCCAGUAGCGGGGGAUAGCCCGGCGAAAGCCGGAUUAAUACCGCAUACGACCUGGGGGUGAAAGCGGGGGACCGAAAGGACUCGCGCUCUUGGAGCGGCCGAUGUCGGAUUAGCUAGUUGGUGGGGUAAAGGCUUACCAAGGCGACGAUCCGUAGCUGGUCUGAGAGGACGACCAGCCACACUGGGACUGAGACACGGCCCAGACUCCUACGGGAGGCAGCAGUGGGGAAUUUUGGACAAUGGGGGCAACCCUGAUCCAGCCAUGCCGCGUGCGGGAAGAAGGCCUUCGGGUUGUAAACCGCUUUUGUUCGGGAAGAAAUCCUCUGGGCUAAUACCCCGGGGGGAUGACGGUACCGGAAGAAUAAGCACCGGCUAACUACGUG
rnacentral:rRNA from 1 species